CCUACGGGGUGCAGCAGUGAGGAAUAUUGGUCAAUGGGCGGAAGCCUGAACCAGCCAAGCAGCGUGCAGGAUGACGGCCCUACGGGUUGUAAACUGCUUUUAUACGGGAAUAACGCGCCUUACGUGUAGGCCUUUGCAUGUACCGUAUGAAUAAGGACCGGCUAACUCCGUGCCAGCAGCCGCGGUAAUACGGAGGGUCCGGGCGUUAUACGGAUUUAUUGGGUUUAAAGGGAGCGUAGGCCGCAUGUCAAGCGUGCUGUGAAAUGUCCGGGCUCAACCCGGGCCUUGCAGCGCGAACUGGCGUGCUUGAGUCCGCGGAAGGCAGGCGGAAUUCGUCGUGUAGCGGUGAAAUGCUUAGAUAUGACGAAGAACCCCGGUUGCGAAGGCAGCUUGCUGCAGCGGAACUGACGCUGAUGCUCGAAAGCGCGGGUAUCGAACAGGAUUAGAUACCCUUGUAGUC
rnacentral:rRNA from 1 species